rnacentral:lncRNA from 10 species
CGUGAUCUGGAUUGAAAAAGGCCACAGAGAGAGAGAGGCUCUCUACUGCCCUGAGAAUGACAUCCCCACUGUUCACCAUGGCCUUAAAUCCCCUGCGAAUUCCACCUCAUCCUCUGCCACUUCCCGUCACUGCUCUGAAGAUGCCCUGAUCUUGUUUCAGUCCCUUGGAUGUACCCAGCUCUUCUCCAUCUUUGCAUGUGUCAUAGCCUCUUCCUGGAAAACCCUUCCUGCUGCUCAUCCCAGAACUGACUCUCCAUGUAUUUACUCUUAUUUUGAGAGAAGGGGGCAUUUCCACCACCAGAAGGGAACUUGCUGUCUUGGUAGCCAUUGUCCCCUGACACCUGGCACAUCUACUCUAUACAGUCACCAUUCAAGUGGAUGUUGAAUGAGUACACUUGUUUCACAGUUUGGUUGGGUAAGCCCCAAAGCUUGGUUCCCGGUAGGAUCAGGCUUUAUGAGUGGGCUGAGUUUCUAUAAAAGUCUCCCUACCAGUUUCCAAUCUUGGUGAAACUAUGUCUGUGGGCACAAAUGAGAAAACUUGCCAUUCGUAUCACCGGUUACCCAGCUGUGGACCAUGUGGGCCAGGUCCACAGAAGAGCCUUAUCCUACUUUCACUUUUUAUUUCCUGCAGUCAUGGGGACAGUGGGGCACCACCUUUUCAGAAACUCUAAGAAAGAGUGUUCAUGAAAGUGGCCAGAGAGUUUUACAAUUUUGCCAUUAGGAAUGAUUAAAUAUCCAUGACUAAUGCCUCUGUGAUUAAAUUGUAUUGGGAGUUCCAAAGUUUGCUUUUUGUGCUUUAAGAGUAAAAUGAGAAGAAAGCAACUGAACUUCUCAUUUAGAAAAUAUUUCUUCUCUCCUUGGCCAGGUGCAGCAGCUCACACCUGUAAUCCCAGCUCUUUGGGAGGCCAGGCAGUGGGACCACUUGAUGCCAGGAGUUCAAGAGCAGCCUGGCCAACAUGGUGAAAACCCAUCUCUACUAAAAAUAAAAAAAUUAGCCAGACAUGGUGGCAUGCACCUGUAGUCCCAGCUACUCGGGAGGCUGAGGAAGGAGAAUUGCUUGAACCUGGGAGGUGGAGGUUGCAGUGAGCCAAGAUCAUGCCACUGCACUCCAGCCUGGACAAUAGAGCGAGAC